UGGUUGUAAGUUAUUAAGAGCGUUCGGUGGAUGCCUUGGCACCAGGAGCCGAAGAAGGACGUUGUAGCCUGCGAUAAGCCUCGGGGAGCUGGCAAACGAGCUGUGAUCCGAGGGUGUCCGAAUGGGGGAACCCGGCCUCAGUCAUGUGGGGUCACUCGCAUCUGAAUGUAUAGGGUGUGUAGAGGGAACGCGGGGAAGUGAAACAUCUCAGUACCCGCAGGAAGAGAUAUUCCGUGAGUAGUGGCGAGCGAAAGCGGAUCAGGCUAAACCGUAUGCGUGGACAAGCCGGCAGGCGUUGCGUGUGCGGGGUUGUGGGACCUUAUCGACUGAUCUCUGCCGAGAUCGGUGAGGUGAUGUGUCGUGGUGUAGUCGAACUGGCUGGGAAGCUGGACCGUAGUGGGUGAUAGUCCCGUAGACGAAACAUCGCGCGCGCCUUUGGUGGGGCACCCGAGUAGCACCGGGCCCGUGAAAUCCGGUGUGAAUCUGCACAGACCACUGUGUAAGCCUAAAUACUACCUGGUGACCGAUAGCGGACAAGUACCGUGAGGGAAAGGUGAAAAGUACCCCGGGAGGGGAGUGAAAUAGUACCUGAAACCGUGCGCUUACAAUCCGUCAGAGCCUCCCUAGUUGGGGUGAUGGCGUGCCUUUUGAAGAAUGAGCCUGCGAGUUAGUGGCGCGUGGCGAGGUUAACCCGUGUGGGGAAGCCGUAGCGAAAGCGAGUCCGAAGAGGGCGAUUGAGUCGCGCGUUCUAGACCCGAAGCGGAGUGAUCUACCCAUGGUCAGGUUGAAGCACGUGUAAGAGCGUGUGGAGGACCGAACCCACUUAGGUUGAAAACUGAGGGGAUGAACUGUGGGUAGGGGUGAAAGGCCAAUCAAACUCCGUGAUAGCUGGUUCUCCCCGAAAUGCAUUUAGGUGCAGCGUCGCGUGUUUCCUGCUGGAGGUAGAGCUACUGGAUGGCCGAUGGGCCCAACCCGGUUACUGACGUCAACCAAACUCCGAAUGCCAGCAGGGUAGAGCGUGGCAGUGAGACUGCGGGCGAUAAGGUUCGUAGUCGAGAGGGAAACAGCCCAGAUCACCGGCUAAGGCCCCUAAGCGUGUGCUAAGUGGGAAAGGAUGUGGAGUUGCGAAGACAACCAGGAGGUUGGCUUAGAAGCAGCCACCCUUGAAAGAGUGCGUAAUAGCUCACUGGUCAAGUGAUUCCGCGCCGACAAUUUAGCGGGGCUCAAGCACACCGCCGAAGCCGUGGCAACCAUGCGAUACCCUCGUGCGACCUCCUUGAGGGGUUGUGUGCAGGGGUGUGGUUGGGUAGGGGAGCGUCGUGCCGACGAAGAAGCCGCAGCGUGAGCUAGUGGUGGAGACGGCACGAGUGAGAAUGCAGGCAUGAGUAGCGAAUGACGGGUGAGAAUCCCGUCCGCCGAUUGACCAAGGGUUCCAGGGCCAGGCUCAUCCGCCCUGGGUAAGUCGGGACCUAAGGCGAGGCCGACAGGCGUAGUCGAUGGACAACGGGUUGAUAUUCCCGUACCGGCGAAGGACCGCCCAUACCGAGCCCGGUGAUGCUAACCACCCGAUCCAGCCGCCGUUGUCUCCUUCGGGAGACUGGUGGUUGGUGAGCGUGGGACCCGAACCGGUAGUAGGUAAGCGUGAGGGGUGACGCAGACAGGUAGCCACCGCGUACCUAGUGGCUUGGUACGUCCAAGGGAGCAGCCCGAUCCGUAGGCAAAUCCGCGGAUCACGAGGGUCAGACCCGAUGGUGACACCACUUGAUGGUGGAAGCAGGGUGAUCCUAUGCUGCCGAGAAAAGCCUCGACGCGAGGUCCUAGCCGCCCGUACCCCAAACCGACACAGGUGGUCAGGCAGAGUAUGCCAAGGCGAUCGAGAGAAUCGUGGUGAAGGAACUCGGCAAAAUGCCCCCGUAACUUCGGGAGAAGGGGGGCCUACCACUUGAAGCCCUAUACGGGCUAGGGUGUGUAGGCCGCAGAGACCAGGGAGAAGCGACUGUUUACUAAAAACACAGGUCCGUGCGAAGUCGCAAGACGAUGUAUACGGACUGACGCCUGCCCGGUGCUGGAAGGUUAAGAGGACCUGUUAGCCAGCCUUUGGUUGGCGAAGCGGUGAAUUUAAGCCCCAGUAAACGGCGGUGGUAACUAUAACCAUCCUAAGGUAGCGAAAUUCCUUGUCGGGUAAGUUCCGACCUGCACGAAUGGCGUAACGACUUCUCCGCUGUCUCCACCACGAACUCGGCGAAAUUGCAGUACGAGUAAAGAUGCUCGUUUCGCGCAGCAGGACGGAAAGACCCCGGGACCUUUACUAUAGCUUGGUAUUGGUGCUCGAUGCGGCUUGUGUAGGAUAGGUGGGAGACUGUGAAGCAUCCGCGCCAGCGGGUGUGGAGUCAUCGUUGAAAUACCACUCUGGUCGUAUUGCGCAUCUAACCUCGGACCAUGAUCUGGUUCAGGGACAGUGCCUGGUGGGUAGUUUAACUGGGGCGGUUGCCUCCCAAAGAGUAACGGAGGCGCUCAAAGGUUCCCUCAGCCUGGUUGGCAAUCAGGUGUCGAGUGCAAGUGCACAAGGGAGCUUGACUGCGAGACUGACGGGUCGAGCAGGGACGAAAGUCGGAACUAGUGAUCCGGCCAUGGCUUGUGGAAGCGUGGUCGCUCAACGGAUAAAAGGUACCCCGGGGAUAACAGGCUGAUCUUCCCCAAGAGUCCAUAUCGACGGGAUGGUUUGGCACCUCGAUGUCGGCUCGUCGCAUCCUGGGGCUGGAGUUGGUCCCAAGGGUUGGGCUGUUCGCCCAUUAAAGCGGCACGCGAGCUGGGUUUAGAACGUCGUGAGACAGUUCGGUCCCUAUCCGCUGCGCGCGCAGGAAACUUGAGAAGGGCUGUCCCUAGUACGAGAGGACCGGGACGGACGAACCUCUGGUGUGCCAGUCGUACCGCCAGGUGCGUGGCUGGUUGGCUACGUUCGGAAGGGAUAACCGCUGAAAGCAUCUAAGCGGGAAGCCUGCUUCAAGAUGAGGUUUCCAUCCCACAUUGUGGGGAGAGGCCCCCAGCAGACCACUGGGUUGAUAGGCCGGAUGUGGAAGCACCGCAAGGUGUGGAGCUGACCGGUACUAAUUGGCCGAAGACUUACCA
rnacentral:rRNA from 1 species